AAACUGAGUAAUCCAUAAAUACUGGCCCAAUUCGAAAGAACGUGACAUGUCCUUUGAUGUACAUCCCAGCGCGAUCCUCUGCCUUUAUCACACUGUGUUAAACCAAUAUUAAACAUUACUGAAUGAAACAGUAAGUAUGAUCAAACAAGUGUCCUUGGAGAGCGCUCCUUUCACUAACAAGCACAAUUGAAUGUGCAGGCUCCCAGUGGAAAGCUUGACCUUGUAGCUUCGGAUGGAUUUUUGUAAUGAAAACCAAUGCUUUUGAAAAAUAAAUCAUACUUGAUUAGCCUGAAAGAUUCCUUGACUUAUUUUGGAAGUGAAGAAAAUAAAACGUGUUAUAUAUUUACAGAUCCAACUAGUGUUUUUUUUGUCACUGUAUGAUGGGUUAUAGGUGAUCCAUUACAUCCCAGCCUCUGAAAGGAGGGAUGAACAAUUAUUAAGAAAGUUCCCAUCAACUUCCUCAGAACUGGUUGAAUCUGUCAACACAUCGAAAGAAGACAAAGAACACAUCUUGCCUGGCCUUGAGGGGUUUCAGAAACUGGCUGAUGGCGUUCUGAUUCACACUGUGAGGCUGGAGGGGUUUCUCCCAGAAUUACAAAACCUGAUCUCGUACUUUCAUUUACCCUACAACACGCAAAACAUCAGGAACACUGCAGACGAGAUGGAGCUCUUCAGUAUGGUCUUGAGGGAGUUCAGGGUGCUCUUUAGAAAGCAGGAGGAGAUGAAGACCUUCCUUCAGUAUGAUGGGACCGAGGCUGUAGAGGGACAGUGGGGGAGGAAGAGGAGUAGCUUGGCACUGAGGAAGAUCGCUAACUGGAUACCAUACAUUCAGGUGAAGCCCAAACGGGAUCCCUGGCAACAGAAACUCAUCACCAAGCUGAAGGAUCUCCAGUCUUCUGAUGAUUUGCUCAGGGCUCAUUGCAGGUUCCUCCAGCUGUCCGAUCCAGGCCUUGUGACUGAGGCCCUGAGGGAACACGCUUCCCAGGUUUGUGACCCCAAGGUUACCCAGCCCUCAUCAACCAUGAUAUCAUCAGUGACCGCCUCACAGGUCUGGAGCAGCAUUUACCGUGCCGCCAAUCAAUCUCAGGCAGGUGUAACUGAGGCAGGGAUGCGAUUGCAUGACAACAACCAUUUUCAUCACCUAAAAGGGAUUUUGUAUGAGUUCCUUAUAACCACAAUAAGAAUUUUUUUCAGAUAG
rnacentral:lncRNA from 1 species